UUUCUUGGUAGAGGUGCGGAAGCCAUGAGUAGCCGGGCCGGCAAUUCCGAUCAGCUUCGGAGGCUCGCGCGAAAGGGGCAAUCUGGUUGUGGUAGGUGUUGUCCGCCGAAAUCGCAGCGGUAGCUGAAACCGCGGUGGUUGGGGAGCAGGUCCAAGGCCUGUUCACUGUCAUCCGUUCAUAGGGAUGAAGCGCUAUCGAGAGG
rfam:Acidobacteria bacterium 13_1_40CM_3_56_11 13_1_40cm_3_scaffold_8083, whole genome shotgun sequence.